rnacentral:rRNA from 1 species
GAUGAACGCUGGCGGCGUGCCUAAUACAUGCAAGUCGAGCGAACAGACGAGGAGCUUGCUCCUCUGACGUUAGCGGCGGACGGGUGAGUAACACGUGGAUAACCUACCUAUAAGACUGGGAUAACUUCGGGAAACCGGAGCUAAUACCGGAUAAUAUAUUGAACCGCAUGGUUCAAUAGUGAAAGACGGUUUUGCUGUCACUUAUAGAUGGAUCCGCGCCGCAUUAGCUAGUUGGUAAGGUAACGGCUUACCAAGGCGACGAUGCGUAGCCGACCUGAGAGGGUGGUCGGCCACACUGGAACUGGGACACGGUCCAGACGCCUACGGGAGGCAGCAGUAGGGAAUCUUCCGCAAUGGGCGAAAGCCUGGCGGAGCAACGCCGCGUGAGUGAUGAAGGUCUUCGGAUCGUAAAACUCUGUUAUUAGGGAAGAACAAAUGUGUAAGUAACUAUGCACGUCUUGACGGUACCUAAUCAGAAAGCCACGGCUAACUACGUG